rnacentral:rRNA from 1 species
GACGUAGGGGGCAAGCGUUGUCCGGAUUUAUUGGGCGUAAAGAGCUCGUAGGCGGCUCAGAAAGUCGGGUGUGAAACCUCCAGGCUCAACCUGGAGACGCCACCUGAUACUGCUGUGGCUAGAGUCCGGUAGGGGAGCACGGAAUUCCCGGUGUAGCGGUGAAAUGCUUAGAUAUCGGAAGGAACAUCAGUGGCGAAAGCGACUUCCUGGACCAAUACUGACGCUCAUGUGCGAAAGCGUGGGGAGCAAACAGG